UCGUAAUUCCGUAACCCCAAGAAUGAUAUGAACAGCAGACAAUUGCAAUUGAGCUGAAAAUUCAGCUCGGAAAAUGGCGGCAGCAAUCACUUUCCGAUCCCGAUUCAGACCGUAUAAUCGGGUUCUAGACGUUGUAGAUGAUCGUUCGGUUCUAAUUAGUGGAUGCUUGGAAGAAAGGUAUUUUUCCCCCUACUUUUAUGGAGUGAUUAAAUAAUAAUGUGGUGGAAUCGUUUAGUCGGCCUCAAUUUGGUGAAAUUACGUGUUUUUAUUUUUCUGCAAUUUUGUUGAUCAACUGGAAAGUAAUGGAAUCCUGAUUAAUGAAUUGGUUAAAAUAGCGGCUUCUUAAUUGAUGUGCAGGGGGCGUGUUUGAAAUUUUGAAUAUCUAGGUUUGUUGUUAGUUUCGUGUAUGUGAUUAUUAUGGGGAAUCAGAACUAGUAUAUUUGGGGUUUGAAUGAGUAAUGUGAUUGAAUUUGCUGUUAAUAUGUGAUUCCAAAGCUACUUAUUAGAUGAACCUGUUCUGCUUUGCUCUCACAAUAUCCGAGUCCCUGACUGAAAGGUCGUUGUAUACGUCGUUUGAUCGGCUGCUUACAUAGAAAUGUAUCCAGAUGGAUUGUUUGUGCUUCUUGCAUUUCAAUUGGCGUCUUUCUUUGUUAUCAGCUCAAACGUGUGGUGGUCUUUGUUUUUGUGCAAAUCUGCUGCUGCAUUCACUCUUUUAUCUUUAGAAUAUAUGUGUUUGGUUCGGCCUAUAUAGUACGAACAUUACAGUUUUUGGAAAUACACAUCAACCUAAGUGCUUGGGGCUGAUAUUGAUGGUUAAUCUUCUUGCUGCGGUCUCCCUCAUAUUUCCUGCCUCGGGUUUCCUUGUCCCUGUGUAUCUCAAAAUUAGCCAAGAGAAUACCAACACUAGCGCAGAGAGUUUUCGAACACGGAAAUCAGCCUGAGGACUUGUGGCUUAUAUGAUACCAACAUUAGGGUAGAGAGAUUUCAUAAAUGGACACCAAGCUGAGUAUUUGGGGCUGAUAUUGAUGUUUACUCUCCCCUGUAUAUUUCUUAACUCGUGUUUUCUUGCAUGCAGCAUGCCUCAAAAUUAAGCCUAGAUUAUACCAACACAAGGUAGAGAAUUUUGGAAAACAAACAUCAACUUGUGGCUGUGUUUAACUUUUGAUGGCUGUUCAUUCCAACACAAGAUGCUGUUGUUGGUCCAUUAAAUUUUCUACUACAGUAGUUCCCCUGCACUGCAUUUGAGUUUCCAUUGCAUUUCACCAUUUCGUCGAAGCAAUGGAGCACUACACAAGUCUCCAUGAUGAGCUAAAAUGGACUUGAGACUGUUAUGUUUAAAAGUUUCUGUUGUAUCAUUGAAGUUUGGCUAUUAGUAAGAUGCAGCCGUGCAUACCCAACCCCAUCGACCUUCUGCAUCGUUGCAACUUGCAAGUGUUUGAAACUGACUUGUUACAGUGCCGAUAGCUCUUCAACUGUAGGGUUUAUUGAAUAUGCACUUCUUUUAAUGUUUUUAGCAAACUUGAGUAAUGUCAAGCAUUAUCUUAUUCAUGUACGAUUAUAUAACACAAGCGUUGUUUCUGCCUA